rnacentral:rRNA from 1 species
GAAGCUGGAGUUGCUAGUAAUCGCGAAUCAGCAUGUCGCGGUGAAUACGUUCCCGGGCCUUGUACACACCGCCCGUCACACCAUGAGAGUUGGCAAUACCCAACGUACGUGAUCUAACCCGCAAGGGAGGAAGCGUCCUAAGGUAGGGUCAGCGAUUGAGGUGAAGUCGUAACAAGGUAAC